rnacentral:rRNA from 1 species
UGGGGAAUUUUGGACAAUGGGGGAAACCCUGAUCCAGCCAUCCCGCGUGUGCGAUGAAGGCCUUCGGGUUGUAAAGCACUUUUGGCAGGAAAGAAACGUCAUGGGUUAAUACCCCGUGAAACUGACGGUACCUGCAGAAUACGCACCGGCUAACUACGUGCCAGCAGCCGCGGUAAUACGUAGGGUGCAAGCGUUAAUCGGAAUUACUGGGCGUAAAGCGUGCGCAGGCGGUUCGGAAAGAAAGAUGUGAAAUCCCAGAGCUCAACUUUGGAACUGCAUUUUUAACUACCGGGCUAGAGUGUGUCAGAGGGGGGUAGAAUUCCGCGUGUAGCAGUGAAAUGCGUAGAUAUGCGGAGGAACACCGAUGGCGAGGGCAGCCUCCUGGGAUAACACUGACGCUCAUGCACGAAAGCGUGGGGAGCAAACAGG